UCAAGGAUACCGUGUGUUUUCUUGGUUUAUUUUAAUUAUCUCCGUGAAGAUGGGUGUGACAUCUGUGUGAAUGCACCUGUCCAUGUCUUGGGGUGCACCUGGACAUACAUACCCACCAGUACCUGUGUGCAUGUGUUGGGGGUGCAGUGCUGGCUCUCCAAGUUUCUUUCUUUUUUUUUCUCCAUGUUUCUAGGCUCUGGAGAACCAGAUACAGUGACCAAAUGUGGAGAGCAUCUGUCUGCUGCAGGUAACCGCCAACUGGAUCACCAGCAUAAAUCAGACUCAACCAGUAUUCCCCGCCUUGCUCCUUUGGUCGGUAUUCCUUGGCAACCAAUAGGGAAACCUACGGAGAAAACCGCCCUCUGAGUCCAAACAAGCCUUUUUUUUCUGAACCAGGUAAGAAGAAAACAGUUGAGUACCAAUUCUCAGAAUGUCUGCUGAUUAAUAUUUUUGACAAGGACCACUCCAAAUAGGCCAUUUUCUUUAAAGGCAGGGAUCUUGCUGCAAUUAUUUUUAGAUCCUUGGUACCUAGGACAUUUCUUCACAGAUAGUAUACACCCAGUGGAUGAUUGUGAGACCAAAAUUGAACAGUUUUAGUAGAGAAUAUAGAUUGAUUGAUCUGAGAGCAUCAAUUUACCUGACGGGUGCACACAGGAAAGCCACGUGCAUUUUUACAGAGACAUCCCAAGACUCUACCGCUGUCAGUAGCCAAAAACCUGAGUUUAUUCCUCAAUCUUGACACAGUGACAUCAAUACUGCUUACUGCUCAAAGGGGGGCAUGCACGGUGCAGUCAUCAGGGAGCGAGUUACAAAACACCGCUAUGGUGCUGUUGAGGAGAAGCAGUUUCCAGAAACAUAUUUGGUGAUGUUAAAUUAUCCUUUUUGAUAGUUUACUUAGUAGAACAAACACUAAACAAGACCACGCUGGAGAUUGAGCAUAAAGUACAAGUAGUAGAAGAGAAAGCAGCAGUAGUGAUUAAAUAAUUAAAUAACACUUUGAAACUUUUUCACUUCUGAGAAGAAUUAACUCGAAGUGCAGCAAAUGCCAGCAACUUUGUUGGGUAUUUCCAAAUGACAUCUAUGAAAAAGCAGGGAUGAAAAAGUCGUCAAGUAUUUCGUUGAAUGCUCUUAGCAAUACGAUUUCGUAACACUGUCCUUAGUGUCUUUUUUUUUUAUUGUUGUUCAAAACAUAUAGCAUAGUAAGUUUCAAAGAGGAUUUUUCUUUAAGAGGUCAUUGUAGUCAACCAGUUUUCACUACGUAUAGCGAUUGUUAUUUACAGCAGUAGGCAACCAACUCAUGCCAUCAAUUAACAACAUGGUAGCAAGGUUUCCACUUGAAAUAGAAGGUAAUUUAGAAUUAUUUGUGGCCUCAUUAUAAUUAUACAAUAAAAGCUAAUUAUUUUAAAGACCUAUCA
rnacentral:lncRNA from 12 species